rnacentral:rRNA from 1 species
GAUGAACGCUGGCGGCGUGCCUAAUACAUGCAAGUCGAGCGAACGGACGAGAAGCUUGCUUCUCUGAUGUUAGCGGCGGACGGGGGAGUAACACGUGGAUAACCUACCUAUAAGACUGGGAUAACUUCGGGAAACCGGAGCUAGUACCGGAUAAUAUUUUGAACCGCAUGGUUCAAAAGUGAAAGACGGUCUUGCUGUCACUUAUAGAUGGAUCCGCGCUGCAUUAGCUAGUUGGUAAGGUAACGGCUUACCAAGGCAACGAUGCAUAGCCGACCUGAGAGGGUGAUCGGCCACACUGGAACUGAGACACGGUCCAGACUCCUACGGGAGGCAGCAGUAGGGAAUCUUCCGCAAUGGGCGAAAGCCUGACGGAGCAACGCCGCGUGAGUGAUGAAGGUCUUCGGAUCGUAAAACUCUGUUAUUAGGGAAGAACAUAUGUGUAAGUAACUGUGCACAUCUUGACGGUACCUAAUCAGAAAGCCACGGCUAACUACGUG